rnacentral:rRNA from 1 species
UCGGUCCAAUCCUUAAAGUCAUCCUCAGUUCGGACUGGGGUCUGCAACCCGACCCCACGAAGCUGGAUUCGCUAGUAAUCGCGCAUCAGCCAUGGCGCGGUGAAUACGUUCCCGGGCCUUGUACACACCGCCCGUCAAGCCAUGAAAGCCGGGGGCGCCUGAAGUCCGUGACCGCGAGGGUCGGCCUAGGGUGAAACCGGUGAUUGGGGCUAAGUCGUAACAAGGUACC